GGUCUCGUGGCCGAGUGGCUAGGCAGAGGUCUGCAAAACCUUCUACGGCGGUUCGAAUCCGCCCGAGACCUCCA
rnacentral:tRNA from 1 species